UGGGGAAUAUUGCACAAUGGGCGCAAGCCUGAUGCAGCCAUGCCGCGUGUGUGAAGAAGGCCUUCGGGUUGUAAAGCACUUUCAGCGGGGAGGAAGGCGUUAAGGUUAAUAACCUUGGCGAUUGACGUUACCCGCAGAAGAAGCACCGGCUAACUCCGUGCCAGCAGCCGCGGUAAUACGGAGGGUGCAAGCGUUAAUCGGAAUUACUGGGCGUAAAGCGCACGCAGGCGGUCUGUCAAGUCGGAUGUGAAAUCCCCGGGCUCAACCUGGGAACUGCAUUCGAAACUGGCAGGCUAGAGUCUUGUAGAGGGGGGUAGAAUUCCAGGUGUAGCGGUGAAAUGCGUAGAGAUCUGGAGGAAUACCAGUGGCGAAGGCGGCCCCCUGGACAAAGACUGACGCUCAGGUGCGAAAGCGUGGGGAGCAAACAGG
rnacentral:rRNA from 1 species